UUAGGACGAACGCUGGCGGCGUGCCUAAUACAUGCAAGUCGAACGGUCUUUCUAUGGAAGCUUGCUUCCACUGAGAAGAUAGUGGCGAACGGGUGAGUAACACGUGGGUAACCUGCCCAUAAGAGGGGGAUAACAUCCGGAAACGGGUGCUAAUACCGCAUAGUUUUCUUGAUCGCAUGAUUGAGAAAGGAAAGACGGCCUUUGUGCUGUCGCUUAUGGAUGGACCCGCGGCGUAUUAGUUAGUUGGUGAGGUAACGGCUCACCAAGACGAUGAUACGUAGCCGACCUGAGAGGGUGAUCGGCCACAUUGGGACUGAGACACGGCCCAAACUCCUACGGGAGGCAGCAGUAGGGAAUCUUCCGCAAUGGACGAAAGUCUGACGGAGCAACGCCGCGUGAGUGAAGAAAAGGUUUUCGGAUCGUAAAACUCUGUUGUCAGAGAAGAACAAGUUGGAGAGUAACUGCUCCAGCCUUGACGGUAUCUGACCAGAAAGCCACGGCUAACUACGUGCCAGCAGCGGC
rnacentral:rRNA from 1 species